rnacentral:antisense_RNA from 1 species
UGUAGGAGCGAGCCUGCUCGCGAUAGCGGUGUUUCAGCUACAUCAAUGGCGGCUGACAAAUUGCUAUCGCGAGCAAGCUCGCUCCCACA